rnacentral:rRNA from 1 species
UCUUUAAAUAGGGACUCGUAUCAACGGCACCACGAGGGUCACACUGUCUCCCCUUUCCAAUCAGUGAAACUGAUCUCCCCGUGAAGAAGCGGGGAUAAACCUAUAAGACGAGAAGACCCCAUGGAGCUUUAAAUCUCACAGCAACUCUGCCAUACAAUCCCCCAUAGUCAACAGAGCCCUGCAUGUCGACUUUAGGUUGGGGUGACCACGGAGAAAAAAUUAUCCUCCACGACGAAAAGAACUAAACCUUUAUCUAAGAGCAACUCCUCUAAGAAUUAGCAUACUAACGUUCAAUGACCCGAUAAUCGAUCAACGGACCAAGUUACCCUGGGGAUAACAGCGCAAUCUACUUCAAAAGCCCAUAUCGACAAGUAGGCUUACGACCUCGAUGUUGGAUCAGGGUAUCCCAGUGGUGCAGCCGCUACUAAUGGUUC